rnacentral:rRNA from 1 species
UACGAACUGCGCGAACGUUAUUCGGAAUCACUGGGCUUACAGGGUGCGUAGGCGGCUAUUCAGGUCCGAUGUGAAAUCCCCCGGCUCAACCGGGGCAUGGCAUUGGAAACCGAAUGGCUGGAGUGAGCUAGAGGUGCACGGAACUUCCGGUGGAGCGGGGAAAUGUGUUGAGGUCGGAAGGAACACCAGAGGCGAAGGCGGUGCACGGGGGCUUGUCUGACGCUGAGGCACGAAAGCCAGGGGAGCGAACGGC